rnacentral:tRNA from 1 species
GCUUAGGUAUUUUAAUAAAAAUAUUGAUUUGUGGAAUCAUUGAUGUGGAUUUUUCACCUAGGCC